GGUUUGCAGGCAGUGUAGUUAGCUGAUUGUAUUCAUCGCAGGGCAAUCACUAACUUCACUGCCAUCAAAAC
rfam:Calypte anna contig24642, whole genome shotgun sequence.